rnacentral:rRNA from 1 species
UAAGACAGAGGGUGCAAACGUUGCUCGGAAUUACUGGGCGUAAAGCGCGUGUAGGCGGUGCCGCACGUCCGAUGUGAAAGCCCGGGGCUCAACCCCGGACGUGCAUUGGAUACGACGGCGCUGGAGUCCUGAAGAGGAGGGCGGAAUUCCCGGUGUAGAGGUGAAAUUCGUAGAUAUCGGGAGGAACACCAGUGGCGAAGGCGGCUCUCUGGACAGGUACUGACGCUGAGACGCGAAAGCGUGGGUAGCAAACAGGAUUAGAUACCCUGGUAGUCCACGCUGUAAACGAUGAGAACUGGGUGUCGCGGGUAUUGACCCCCGCGGUGCCGAAGCCAACGCGUUAAGUUCUCCGCCUGGGAAGUACGGCCGCAAGGCUA